UUCACAUGUUAUUUUUUAUGGAAUGAAAUCUAUCAAUAUCUUCCUUUAUGGUUUGGGUGAUGUUUCAGGGUGUUCAAUCAUCCCCAUUUGCAUGGAACUGUUCAGUUUUAGCACUGAAAGUCCCACAUCCUGGGAAAUUCCUCAGUCCCGGGCAAAUCAGAACAGUUGGUCACCUUAGAAGCCAUGGACUCUCAUACUUCAAAAAUUACCAAUAGUCUCGCAACCAGUUCUCUCCUUUCAUUCUCAUCCCUCCUCUCUUGCUGAAUUAUUAUCCAAAAUACAAAAGAACAAACUCACAGACUGGUAGGAACCUACAUCUUUAAUCCUAACCCCCGUUACCUGCUUUGGAUAUCCAACACUCUAACCAAAUAGGCUUAAUUAAAUAUGAUUCCCCAAACACCCCCACCCCAGGUGUCUCAGUCACUCUGUGCUGUUAUAAAUGACUAUAUACUGGGUGGCUUAGACAACAGAGAUUUAUUUCUCACUGUUCUAGAGGCCGGGAAGUCAGAUCAGGGCGCCAGCAUGGUCGGCUCUGGGCCUAGAUUCUUCUGUGUAAAAAUGGAGACUUCAUUUUGCCCU
rnacentral:lncRNA from 10 species